rnacentral:tRNA from 1 species
GGGCGCAUAGCUCAGCCGGUUAGAGCGCUACACUCACAUUGUAGAGGUCGAGGGUUCAAUUCCUUCUGCGCCCA